rnacentral:lncRNA from 1 species
GGUUUAAACCUAGGAAGAAGAAAUAUAAGAGUGUGUCCUCAUAAGAGCUUAUGGGCCCUAGGCUCUUGAACCUAAUGCUGAUCAUCAUUUUAAAGUGCUUAGACUUUGAAAGCAUCAGCUGAAAUUUUUUACAAUGCCGCUGCCACUUAUUUAAUACUGUUGAAUGAAAAACAACAUGCCAAACAGAUGGGAUAACCUUUUUAUUCCACACAUUUGUCCCUCUUCCCCUACUAGUACAGCUUGACAGAAUGGAUGUUUUUGUUACCUGGUUCCUUUCCAGUAUAUUUUCUGACUGCCAAUUUUUUCAUUUCAAACAAGCCUUAUUUAGAUAGUUUAAUAGUGAAUAAACCAACAUAGGACUUUUGUAAUUGAGAGAAAAACUGUCCAUGUUUUAGCAAGGGUAAAGCCUGAACUCUUUCAUCUGACACAGGAUUUUCUUCAUUUCUUGUUUGUUUGCUUUUUGGGAUGAGGUCUCGAUCUGUCACCCAGGUUAGAGUGCAGCAGUGGCUUGAUCACCACUCACUGCAGCCUCAACCUCCUAGGCUCAAGCAGUCCUCCUCUGCCUCAGCCUGUGAAGCAGCGGGGACCACAAGCAAACGCCACCAUGGCCAGCUAUUGGUUUUUUUUUUUUUUUUAGUGGAGACAGGUGUCUCCUUAUGUUGCCCAGACUGGGCUUAAGCUGUCCUGCUUCAGCCUCCCAAAGUGCUAGGAUUACAGGCGCAAGCCAUUGCACCUGUCCUCAUUUCUCAGCAGCCAACUCAAUCAGUGUCUUUCUGCUGCAAUUAGCCCUUACUAUUCCAUCCUCUUUACCAGAAAAUUUUUCCUUCAUAAUAUAUUUGACCAUAAUUUAGGAAAUGAAAUGUUUUUCUGCAUAUAUUAUUCAUGCUUAGCUAUCAGGAAUAAGUAGUAAAUGACUUCAUUGCCGUGAUUAUUUUUCAUAUGUUAAUAUACUGCAAGCUCCGCCUCCCGGGUUCACGCUGUUUUCCUGCCUCAGCCUCCAGAGUAGCUGGGACUACAGGUGCCCGCUACCAUGCCUGGCUAAUUUUUUUGCAUUUUCGUAGAGACGGGGUUUCACUGUGUUAGCCAGGAUGGUCUUGAUCUCCUGACCUCGUGAUCCGCCUGCCUUGGCCUCCCAAAGUGUUGGGAUUACAGGUGUGAGCCACCGCGCCCGGUCGAGUUUUCUUCUUUAAUCUGGUGUUGAUCCUGAGAGUGCUUUGUUAAAAAACAUUCUCCAUGCUGACCUCCGUUUUCGAGUCCGCUUCCUGGGGAAACCUGAAACAGGACUUGAUGCUAGCAGCUGCCCAGAAGAACCAGAUGGGCCACUGUCCUUGCCAGAAGAUCUGAUAUCCUGUGUAUGGCCACCACCUAACACUGCUCACUUCUACAUGUAAACCUCAGAGAGCAUCCGCGAGAACUUCCUUCUAAGCUAAAUAUGUCAUCUAGCACCUGAAAAAAUUUAAGUCUGGUUCUUUCUGGAUAAAAGAAAGCGCACAGGAUUUAAGUGAGUAAAUACUUAAGUGAGUAAAUUCUUAGAAAAAACAAAACCUAACCGCCACAAUUGGACUUUGGAACUUUUUUCCCCCCUUAGCAGCAGGCUGAAAUUUUCAGUUCCUCGGUCACUGAUCAGGGAAUUCUGCGCUUCAGGCUGUGUACACCCGCAAGUCUGGAAGGGUGAUGAUGAUGAUGUGAUGAUGAGUUAGGGCAAUUAUAACUACGGCAAAAAAAAAAAAAAAAAAAAACACCAUGAUCAAGUGGGAAACAUCUAUCUUCUUAAAUGCAGAAGAAGAAUGUAUGUAACAAGUAUGCUAGACUAUAGAAAAGACUCGAAGCCCUUACCGCAGUCAGCCCA